GACGAACGCUGGCGGCGUGCUUAACACAUGCAAGUCGAACGGAAAGGCCUGCUUUCCCUUGUGGAUUGCGGGUACUCGAGUGGCGAACGGGUGAGUAACACGUGAGUGAUCUGCCCCCAACUUGGGUAUAAGCCUGGGAAACUGGGUCUAAUUCCCGAUAGGACUGCAGGGUGGUGCCUGUGGUGGAAAACGAUUUUCUAGUGGUUGGGGAUGAGCUCGCGGCCUAUCAGCUUGUUGGUGGGGUAAUGGCCUACCAAGGCGGCGACGGGUAGCCGGCCGGAGAGGGUGGACGGCCACAUUGGGACUGAGAGACGGCCCAGACUCCUACGGGAGGCAGCAGUGGGGAAUAUUACACAAUGGGCGGAAGCCUGAUGCAGCGACGCCGCGUGGGGGAUGACGGCCUUCGGGUUGUAAACUCCUUUCGACCGCGAGGAAGCCACCUGGUUGGAAGGGUGGUGACGGUAGUGGUAGAAGAAGCACCGGCUAACUACGUG
rnacentral:rRNA from 1 species